rfam:Triticum aestivum genome assembly, contig: Triticum_aestivum_CS42_TGACv1_scaffold_456510_5DS
UCCAGUGAUGGCACAUCUUUGAGACCUGAGUUUACUUAGUUGAUGAACAUCAUAAGCAUAAUCCUUGAGGGC